rnacentral:rRNA from 1 species
AAUUUGGGACAAGGGGGGAAACCCUGAUCCAGCCAUCCCGUGCUUAUUAUGAAGGCCUUCGGGUUGUCAAGUACUUUUGGCUGCGAAGAAAAGGUACCUCCUAAUCCGAGUUACUUCUGACGGUAUCUUCAGAAUAAGCACCGGCUAGCUACGUGCAAGCAGCCGCGGUAAUACGUAGGGUGCAAGCGUUAAUCGGAAGUACUGGGCGUAAAGCGUGUGUAGGCGGUUCGGAAAGAAAGAUGUGAAAUCCCAGGGCUCAACCUUGGAACUGCAUUUUUAACUGCCGAGCUAGAGUAUGUCAGAGGGGGGUAGAAUUCCACGUGUAGCAGUGAAAUGCGUAGAUAUGUGGAGGAAUACCGAUGGCGAAGGCAGCCCCCUGGGAUAAUACUGACGCUCAGACACGAAAGCGUGGGGAGCAAACA